rnacentral:misc_RNA from 1 species
CGUCGAUGCAUACUCUACGUGGUGUAAGAAAGACAGAGAGUACGAUUCCUGUGAUACGACUGGAAUUAAAUAAGUCGCUGUAAAAUGGCAAUCAGCAGCUAGAAAAGAGGCUACGGUGCAGAUGCAAAGAUCUUCGUUUCCUUUUAUCGAGGCACGGAACAAAUAAACGUGGUAUUUGAAAAUUGGAUGUAUUACAGCGCUCGUAACAGCCUACCCAUAUAUAGAAGCACGAAAUAUUAGGAUGAAAAUGUAUCGAUCGAUUACACGAAGUUGCGCAAGUCGCGUAGGUGUAAAAAUAGCAUAGUAGACAAUCGUCAGGGUCAGUUGACCGCGUGUCCAUCCAAACGGACAUCCUGCGGCGAAGGGUGACGGCUCCUGCAUACAGAGACUACGCUCGAACAGCGGCAUUUGCUACGAUCGUAUCGAGGCCACGAGAUUCUCUUUUCUGGCCGCUCGUGACCCGGAGAACUCUCGUGGAAGAGGAGAAUACCGCGCGGUGCACGGUGGGCAUAAAACCGGUGGAACACGAGAAUUCGCGAGCAGAUCGAACACUGUGUACCAUAAUACCGUACAACAAAAUUCUCCACGCGAAGAGGAUCCAGUUUUUGUCAGACGCUCCGGUACAUGACGCCUCGAUGAAGCAAUAUCUCGCGGCUGCCUGGAAUAAUGUCCCGUGAUGACGGUUUUAUCGGUCACGGAAUGCGGCUGUGCACGUCGUAUCGGCUCCAGGUAACAACAAAUAGUCCUGCUACACGGAGAUAUCAAUAAAUGCUGGCGUUUCUAUUCGUCGAAAUAGGAUUGUCGCUUGACUAGCUGGCCGCUUGG